UCACCUCAAAUUUCAAGAGCAUAGAUGCACAUUUUAAAGAAUAAAGCAAUUUCGAUCCAAGAUCUUUUUUAAACAGCUAUGCAAUCUUUAAAAAUUAGACAGCUAUGCAAAAUCUUUACUAAACAGCUAUCCAAAAAUUAACCAUUAUCCAUGCAAUCUUAAAAAAUUAACAAAAAAAAAAAGGAAAUUUGACAACUAUGCAUCACAAUCCAACAUCUAUGCACCAACAACCUUAAAAAAUGCAACUCCAAAAAAAAAACAAAAAAAACGUUUCAAUUUUGCCAUUUAUGCAUCAAUAUCCAACAUCUAUGCAUCACAAUCUUUCAUCUAUGCAAAUAAAAAAAACCUCUCAAAGAAUCGCAAGAAAUGGUAUAUUUUUGCAACAACUUUGUCACAUCUAUGCAACAACACCCAUCAUCUAUUCAAUUUAAACAAAUUAACCAAAAAACAAUCAACUAUGCAAUAACA
rnacentral:lncRNA from 1 species